GACGAACGCUGGCGGCAUGCCUUACACAUGCAAGUCGAACGGCAGCACGGGAGCAAUCCUGGUGGCGAGUGGCGAACGGGUGAGUAAUAUAUCGGAACGUGCCCAGUAGUGGGGGAUAACUGCUCGAAAGAGCAGCUAAUACCGCAUACGACCUGAGGGUGAAAGGGGGGAGUCGCAAGACCUCUCGCUAUUGGAGCGGCCGAUAUCAGAUUAGCUAGUUGGUGGGGUAAAGGGCCUACCAAGGCAACGAUCUGUAGUUGGUCUGAGAGGACGACCAGCCACACUGGGACUGAGACACGGCCCAGACUCCUACGGGAGGGCAGCAGUGGGGGAGUAUUGCACAAUGGGCGAAAGCCUGAUGCAGCAACGCCGCGUGAGGGAAGACGGUUUUCGGAUUGUAAACCUCUGUCCUUGGUGAAGAACAAAUGACGGUAGCCGAGGAGGAAGCCACGGCUAACUACGUG
rnacentral:rRNA from 1 species